UAUACGACUUGGAAGGGGAAGAGUAAAAGCGGUAUCGUUCUUUCAGAGAGCUGUCGGUUGGUGCGAGUCAGCAGAAGAGAGCUUUGAACUGGCCCCGGAGUCCUUUUUCCGAAACAUUUUCAUAAUUUAUAGAAGAUGCAAGUAAGAAAAAGCGGGAGUUCCCGUUACAGAAUCCAUAAGUGCAUGAGGCUUAUGCUUCAUGAAGUAGAGUGGUACCACGGAAAUAAAGUCCUUUCGUCUCUAGU
rnacentral:ncRNA from 1 species